GAACUAUCAUUUCUCAUUCUGUCAGUCUCUGAGGUUGAAUUUUACUCUUAGUGGGCAGCUUUAUAGUAAUAAGCAACUGCGUAUAUAUCAAUGAUUUGUUAAGAAGUACCUGAAGUUAGUUCGUACAAAAUCUUUCACGUCCAUUGUACGCUGCAAUCAGUGUCGCGGCGCCGCGCGCCGCGACGCGUUGCGACGCAGAAAGGCACAGCUUCCAACGCUUCCUCUAUUUUCAAUCAGGUUCGAUUGAUAAAAAGUGUAAAUUAAGCUGUACCAGCUGCAAGCGUGGAUCUUUCGAAAAGGAGGUCGUAAUUCUUUUAAUUUCUUAAAUUCUGUUUAAUCUGUACUAUAAAUUGCUGAUCAAGUGUAUUCCUUCGACGGACGUGGCCUAAAAACGACGUGGAACACCUGAUUAUUCCAUGAAAUUCCUAUGGAUAAUCUGCUGUAGGAUUUGCUUUUCCUUUCGAAAUUCAGAAUCAUUUCGUAUAAGAAAUGAAGUAUCCAAAGCAUUAUGUCGUAUUUAAAUAAGUACCGCAAAGAAUCUUUCCUUCGCCUUAUUUAUUAGAUGAAGUGAUAAAAAUUCCAGUAAAAUGAAUUCGGAAUUAUGCACUUCUUCAAUCGAGAACCGUGAAUGAAUUAAAUUAUUCAUAGCAAACCGGGGAAACUAAAUAGAAUUGAAUAGUAUUUUAAAUACGGCUAGUCAUUAAUAAUAUGCAGUCAUUAAGUGAUACGUGGGAUAACUGGUGUGCCGCGGGCAAACUCUUCUUGAUAGUAAGACCUUUACGUCUUGACAUUAAAGUUUUGUCAAGAAUCGUUUGAAUCGAUUUUAUAGAAAGCGCAUGUGUAGAUUCCUAUAGCGGAUGAAAUCUUGGACCUUAAUUUAAGUGAUUUAAGCUUACAUUCGUAGGGGAAGUUAAUCUUAAUGGUUUUUAAAAUACGGUAUUUAUAAAUGAAUCUGGUUCUCCGGUAUUAAAUGUGUCAAGCAUAAGAAUUCAAAAACCUGUAAUUGUAGAUUCUUGAAGUACCGGCACACUGACAGUGUGACAUCGGCAAUAGAUAUUGCCGGCAACGAUAGUUGAACUACCGACUGUUGGAAUUACUAUCGGUACGUCGAUAUUUUAAAUAUUUACUUAAGACAGGUGAGGUGAGACAGUGGAGUGGAGUGGACACAAAUGAUGUCAACGUAGUCAAGUGCGAACGUGUUUUAUAUCGUGUGUCUUUAAACUGAUAAAACCCAUAUUAUAAAAAUUGUUGUGCACGAGAAUUACUACGAAUCGAAGACAACAUGUGGGCCUAAUCUGGUUUCACAGAUGACAUUCGCAGGGUGAAUAUGUCCAGAAGAAAACUCGGCAGUAAUAAACAAUUCAACAACGUGGAUUACACACAGCUACUCGAAACCGAUAAUGGGUUUUUUGAUUCCCAGUUCGUGAGACCACCUAUAAAAAUACCAUGGAAAGCUAUUAUGUUAGCAGCUCUCCUAUUUGUUGGAGGUACCAUCAUGCUGAUUGUAGGUAGUCUAAUUGUAUGUGGAUACAUUGAUUCAAAGUAUGCAGACCGUAUGUGGCCAAUUAUUAUCCUAGGAAUUCUAAUGUUUAUACCAGGUGCUUAUCAUAUGAGGGUUGCUAUUUUAGCCUAUCAAAAGGUACCAGGUUAUUCUUUUGAUGAUAUACCAGAGUUUGAUUGAUCAGAGUUAGAUUUUUCACAUGAGAAUAGCCAAAAAGUACAACUUGUUGCGUUAAGUAUUUAAUUUAUGUCAUACUCUUCUGUACAAGCUGUCGGUUUUCACUUUUGCAUUAGUGUUUUAUUAACACACGAUGUGCAAAUAUUGAGCUUAACGAAGAUAAAUGAAGAUUAUUAAAUCAUCUACAGUUUAAUUGAUCAUAUAAAACACAUGUUAUAUAUUUUUGUAAAAUUGUUACAUAUUCUUAAAGUGUGCAAUUAACUUGCACGUGUACAUAUUCUAUGUACUAUAAUUAAAUUAUAUUAUACAUUUCAUCAAUAAACUUAAGAGUUCCUACUUAAGUAUCCUCUUUGGAAUUUGUAACUAAUCUGGCGUAUAUAAAAUGUUUACAAAUAUGAAUACAUCAAUUAUUAAAAUAUACAUAAGGAGAAUAUGUAUAAAAUCUAAAUGUGGAUGAAUGAAGCAGUAGAGAGAUGAUCAUGAUCGAAGAUCGCCAACAAUUACGAAAAAUUACGCUUUAUGUAUGCGAACACACUCUUGCCAGUCAACCGUUGUGUUCUUCCCGCCCUAUGCAUGAAUAAAAUAGGUGGAUCAAAUUCUUCUUGCAAGAGUUUUCUCACUAGUAUCUUUGUUUCUUUGAUUUUUUCAUUUUCCUCGUUUGAUAUUCUAUUUUCGAACAGACGCUUGUCCGUAGGAAUGUCCUACAAAAGAAAAUGAAAUGUAAUUCAUAAAUGCAAUGGGCCGACGUGAGAUUUCAUGAAAAAUAUAACUUGCCUCAAAAAUUAAAUGUAUACCACACGCAUUUGGAUGAACAUGAUCGAUUGCAUGGCCAAUAUUCGAAGAUAAAUGUUCCAGCAAAUUCAGCAUUGCAAGAUGUAUCUCUUCCUUCGUCCAGUUAACGUUUAUAAUCAAAUACGUUACCGGACGAAACUAAUUUCAAAGAGUGAUUAAAAUCAUACACACUUAAAUUCAUGUCGAUGUGGAAUAAUGCAGUAAGCAAAGUGCUAAAUGUAAUACUGUUCAACCUGAGCCCAUAACAUCUGAUUAAUUUCGUAAUAUCUACUAUCAUGUCACGAUCUUUCGUCAGUACAAUUGAAAGUACCAAUUUGUUUGCAAGACUGUUGAGGUCUGUAAAUAACGUCGUGUCUUUAUUCGUUUACACUUGUUAUAUAUGUAUGUAAAUAUGGAACUUAUUAAUAAAUGUUACAUUAUAUAA